rnacentral:rRNA from 1 species
AGCGAACGUUUGCGGCGGGCUUAACACAUGCAAGUCGAACGAGAAUCCCUUCGGGGAGGAAAGUGGCGCACGGGUGCGUAACACGUGGAUAACCAACCCAUUGGUUUGGGACAACACCGGGAAACUGGUGCUAAUACCAGAUGUGUCGCAGCUGUCUUCAGGCGGUUGCGAGAAAGGCCCGCAAGGGUCGCCAACGGACGGGUCCGCGUCCCAUCAGCUAGUUGGUGAGGUAAUGGCUCACCAAGGCUUAGACGUCUAGGGGGUGUGAGAGCAUGGCCCCCACCACUGGACGUNAGAUACUGCCCACGANACCUACGGGUGGGCUGCAGUCGAGAAAUCUUUCGGCGAAUAGGGCGG